UACAUGCAAGUCGAGCGAAUGGAUUAAGAAGCUUGCUCUUAUGAAGUUAGCGGCGGACGGGUGAGUAACACGUGGGUAACCUGCCCAUAAGACUGGGAUAACUCCGGGAAACCGGGGCUAAUACCGGAUAACAUUUUGAACCGCAUGGUUCGAAAUUGAAAGGCGGCUUCGGCUGUCACUUAUGGAUGGACCCGCGUCGCAUUAGCUAGUUGGUGAGGUAACGGCUCACCAAGGCAACGAUGCGUAGCCGACCUGAGAGGGUGAUCGGCCACACUGGGACUGAGACACGGCCCAGACUCCUACGGGAGGCAGCAGUAGGGAAUCUUCCGCAAUGGACGAAAGUCUGACGGAGCAACGCCGCGUGAGUGAUGAAGGCUUUCGGGUCGUAAAACUCUGUUGUUAGGGAAGAACAAGUGCUAGUUGAAUAAGCUGGCACCUUGACGGUACCUAACCAGAAAGCCACGGCUAACUACGUGCCAGCAGCCGCGGUAAUACGUAGGUGGCAAGCGUUAUCCGGAAUUAUUGGGCGUAAAGCGCGCGCAGGUGGUUUCUUAAGUCUGAUGUGAAAGCCCACGGCUCAACCGUGGAGGGUCAUUGGAAACUGGGAGACUUGAGUGCAGAAGAGGAAAGUGGAAUUCCAUGUGUAGCGGUGAAAUGCGUAGAGAUAUGGAGGAACACCAGUGGCGAAGGCGACUUUCUGGUCUGUAACUGACACUGAGGCGCG
rnacentral:rRNA from 1 species